AAGAUAGAAAGCGUGGAUUUGAUUCUUACCAUUUCCAGUAACAUUGAACAAGUAUAAGCGAUUUCCAGCGGCUGUUGCUGUGAUCAUUACAUGUGGCGGCUCUAAUUCAAACUGGUAAUAUGUUCUUCCCAAAUGCUUUGCUACUUCAGAUCUUAAGACUUUACCUUCAACAUUCUCUCCAAUAACUUCAGGCCCAAAUGCGCUAAUCACUUUAUCAGGAGGUCCAAUUUGUUCUAUGGUAGCUUCUUCACCAAUAUCUGAGUCAUAUUUUGAGUAGAAUACCACCAAAAUUGAAUCCGUUAGAGACAAAUUGAGUUGAUUAUAUUUAUUUGCCCCCAUGUUUUUUACAUAUUCAUCCCUAUGUUCACCUAAGAUCACUCUUUCAGUACUAGAAUAGAAGGAAGAAAAAAUAUGAGAUGCCCACCAUCUGAAAAUCUUUUAACAGGAGCCACAAUUACAAAGAUUCUCCCUUCUUUUGGAUUCGCAAAUCUCAAGUCAAUCUCUGUACCACCUAGAUCAGCAAUUGACACAGGGACCUGUUCAACAGGUGAAAACAUUAAAAGUGAACCUGAGUAAGGUAUGUCCAAUCAUGCCCAAGUUGAUUAGUAUCAAGCUCAAAGGUAAUUUCUCUGACAUUGUCAACUACUGAUACACAUGCAGUUGUGACUAGAUGGAUUCUUACCUCUUCCCAAUUAUCAGGCACGGAAAAAGUGUAAGGAAUCAUGGGACUCCAUCCAACACCAUGUCCACCUGAUUUCUCAUCCGGUCUUCGGUAUGUCCUCCAACCUGCCUGAGCAAUCUUUUCCUUGUUAAGAUGAACAUUUACUUGGAAAAAAGAAAAGUACAAAUGAAAAAGACUCUAAGAAUUCAAUUAUGUAAGCAAGUCUUGUAGGAUUUAUGUGUUUCUGAUAGAAUCACUCGCUGUCAACUGUUCUUUAAUUACGUGAAUGUAGUGUUUCUACAUGCAUUUUCCAGCCUAGAUGCAAACUUUUGUUGUAAUCUGAUGUUAUGAGCAAUACCAUCUGACUUAGUAAGAGUACUAAUUGUCCAAGUUUUCCUACAUCACUCAUGAACAUGUCUAUAAGUUUACUGCAGUGUUAUAUGAGACUAACCUUCUUCAUCUGGUUCAGAAAGUCCAGGAACUCUCCCUGCUAGAAGACCUUGUUUAACUACAGCAGAUCCCUCUCCAGGAAAACCAAGCAGUACUGAUGAAAUCAAAGAAGCACCAGAUACAAUAGCUGACCUCCUAUUCAACGAGUCUGCAGAUUUCUCACAAUCCCGAUUCACUGUAACAUCUUCUUUAGAACAAGCAGCAGCUUUAAUUCUUGAACACCCUUUUUCUGGAACACCACGAGGAACCACAUGGUGAGAGGGAUUCACCUGUCUGCUCAGGUUGUUUUUCCAUGAAAGGCAGCUGCUGCUGUAUACAAAUGUCCCCAUUUCCCCCCAACCAAGAAAGUAGGAGAAAGAAAUGAGGUUUAUGGAAUUUUUUCUAUUCAAUAUUGAGGAGAUCCAAUAUGGGAAAUUUCAGAUACUUGGUUUCAGAUUGAAGCCUCUUUGAUUAUGCUGUCGGGCUUUAAACUUAUGAAUUCUUCCUGGUAAAGUUAAAAUUGCUUUGAUUGGGUUUACACCUAGCAAAAGCUGAGGUCCACAGG
rnacentral:lncRNA from 1 species